UACGUAGGGGGCUAGCGUUGUCCGGAAUCAUUGGGCGUAAAGCGCGUGUAGGCGGUCCGGUAAGUCCGCUGUGAAAGUCGGGGGCUCAACCUCGGAUGCCGGUGGAGUACUGUCGGGCUUGAGUACGGAAGAGGCGAGUGGAAUCCUGGUGGUAGCGGUGAAAUGCGCAGAUAUCAAGGAGGAACACCAAUUGCGAAGGCAGCUCGC
rnacentral:rRNA from 1 species